AUACGGAGGAGGCAAGCGUUGUUCGGAAUUACUGGGCGUAAAGCGCGCGUAGGCGGCCGUUCAAGUUGGGCGUGAAAGCCCGGGGCUCAACCCCGGAGGUGCGCACAAAACUGAAUGGCUCGAGGCCGGGAGAGGAGAGUGGAAUUCCCAGUGUAGAGGUGAAAUUCGUAGAUCUUGGGAAGAACACCGGCGGCGAAGGCGGCUCUCUGGUCCGGUUCUGACGCUGAGGCGCGAAAGCGUGGGGAGCAAACAGGAUUAGAAACCCCGGUAGUCC
rnacentral:rRNA from 1 species